rnacentral:rRNA from 1 species
UACGGAGGGUGCAAGCGUUGUCCGGAUUUAUUGGGCGUAAAGAGUUCGUAGGCGUUUCGUUAAGUCAUCUUUUAAAGACCGGAGCUCAACUUCGGAACGGGAGAUGAUACUAACGGAAUUGAAGUAUUUUGGGGUUACCGGAACUCACGGUGUAGGAGUGAAAUCCGUUGAUAUCGUGAGGAACACCGAGGGCGAAGGCAGGUAACUAGGGAUUACUUGACGCUGAGGAACGAAAGCUAGGGUAGCGAAA